rnacentral:ncRNA from 1 species
GAAGUGCGAACCAAGCGGGCGCGUAAAAGCGUCGUGAGACUUGGAGCUGGCCUUGGUAACGAGGCCAUGUA